GAUGAACGCUGGCGGCGUGCCUAAUACAUGCAAGUCGAGCGAACAGACGAGGAGCUUGCUCCUCUGACGUUAGCGGCGGACGGGUGAGUAACACGUGGAUAACCUACCUAUAAGACUGGGAUAACUUCGGGAAACCGGAGCUAAUACCGGAUAAUAUAUUGAACCGCAUGGUUCAAUAGUGAAAGACGGUUUUGCUGUCACUUAUAGAUGGAUCCGCGCCGCAUUAGCUAGUUGGUAAGGUAACGGCUUACCAAGGCAACGAUGCGUAGCCGACCUGAGAGGGUGAUCGGCCACACGAGAACUGAGACACGGUCCAGACUCCUACGGGAGGCAGCAGUAGGGAAUCUUCCGCAAUGGGCGAAAGCUUGGCGGAGCAACGCCGCGUGAGUGAUGAAGGUCUUCGGAUCGUAAAACUCUGUUAUUAGGGAAGAACAAAUGUGUAAGUAACUAUGCACGUCUUGACGGUACCUAAGCAGAAAGCCACGGCUAACUACGU
rnacentral:rRNA from 1 species